rnacentral:rRNA from 1 species
UACGUAGGGGGCGAGCGUUGUCCGGAUUUAUUGGGCGUAAAGAGCGUGUAGGCGGCCAGGUAGGUCUGCUGUGAAAACUCGAGGCUCAACCUCGAGACGUCGGCGGAAACCAUCUGGCUAGAGUCCGGAAGAGGAGAGUGGAAUUCCUGGUGUAGCGGUGAAAUGCGCAGAUAUCAGGAAGAACACCAGUGGCGAAGGCGGCUAACUGGUCCAGAUCUGACGCUGAGGUGCGAAAGCGUGGGGAGCAAACAGG